rnacentral:tRNA from 1 species
GGGUGGAUGCCCGAGUGGUUAAAGGGGCCAGACUGUAAAUCUGGUGGCUCUGCCUUCGCAGGUUCGAAUCCUGCUCCACCCA